CGAACAUUCGGUCUAUCGGCCUACCGAGCAAUUUCACCCGCUCGGUGGGAGAUCUUCACUUUGUCAU
rnacentral:pre_miRNA from 1 species